UUCACAAGCACCCUUUAAUUAUCUAUAUAAGGAUGUGUGCUCACCAAUUUACGAACAUCAAUUAGCUGCACAGUGCCAUUGUAGGUUUGCCUUCGGCAAUUGGAAAAUACUAUAAGGUAAUUUCUUCUUUUCUUCUUUUCUUGUGCUUUCUUCUUUGUUUUACUUUUGUUGUCUCUUUCUUUCCUUUUAGAAGUAAUUUUGUCAAACUACAAAGUCCUUUAUAAGUUCGAGACAAAGGCCUUAAAAUUUUUGUGAUGAAGAUAUUUAAAAUUUGCAGGGAAGACAAAUAAAAUUUGCGGCAAUGAUCUAUAAAAGUUCGUGCAAAGAUCCUUAAAAGCUCGUGGUCAAGAUCUUUAAAAGUUCAAAUGUAAAGACCUUUAAAAGCUCGCAAUGAAGACCUUUAAAAGUUCGCGACGAAUACCUUUAAAAUUUACGGGAAAGACCCAUAAAAGUUCGCGCGAAGAUCCUUAAAAGCUCUUGGUCAAGACCUCUAAAAGUUCACAGUGAAGACCUUUAAAAUUUAUAAUGAAGACUCUUAAAAAUUCAUGGUAGAAAUAUUUAAAAGUCGGCGGUGGGGAUCGUUUAAAGUUCGUCAUGAGCACCGCUAAAAGUUCGAAAUAUACGCCUUUUAAAAGUUCGAAACGAAAACCUAAAAGAAAAUCGGAUGCCUUUAAAAGUUCGAGACGAACACCUUUAAAAGUUCGCAACGAAAACCGUUAAAAAAUUCGGAUACCUUUAAAAGUUCGAGACGAAUACCUUUAAAAGUUCGAGACGAAUACCUUUAAAAGUUCGCAACGAAAAUCGGUUAUAAAAAAGUCCGACACAGACAUCCCUUUUUAUUUACGUGAGACGAUUUUUUUUCCUUUUUCUUUUACUUAUCUAUGCUCUCUUUCAAGAUUGUGAUUGUUACUCUUUCCUUUUGAUUUAGGUACUAACUAAUUUUUUUUUAUACAGCUUGAACAUGGUUUACUUCAGAGACUCAACAUCCUCUUCCUCCACGUUGUCACACCUCCUUUUUGCGCGCUCGCCCCGAAGGGUAAAAUGCGCGAGGGAGUUUUUCCAAUUUAAGUGACAAUAUUCGAAAUGAGAUUUAUUUAUUUAAUUCAGAGUCGUCACUUGGGAAAGGUUUGGCUUUUGGUGUUCCAAGUCACCGGUUUAUCUUGAAUCCCAAAUCGAGGAAAAUAUUCGACUUUCCAAAUGAAGUCUGCGAACCAGAAAUUCUAAGUAAGGAAUUCUGUUGACCCGAGGGAAGGUUGUUAGGUACCCUCGAAUCCCGUGGUUCUAGCACGGUCGCUUAAAUUGUUAUAUUGGCUAAAUAUCUGAUUUAAUACAUGUUAUUACUUAUGUGCUUUAUUAAGUUUAAGCCGCUUUUAUUAUUAUUUUUUAUAGAAUUGCAACGUCGUGAAAAUGCAUCUCGAACCACGUCACAAUCAAUUGCACCCGUGGUUGUUAAUACGUUCCGACUCCGUUGAGAUUUGGAUUUGGGUCACAUAAAUGCGCACCCGAAUUUAAGAAUGUAAUU
rnacentral:lncRNA from 1 species